UCUGCUGCAAAGCGGUUGCUGUUACCCUAA
rnacentral:piRNA from 1 species